rnacentral:rRNA from 1 species
GGUUGAUCCUGCCAGUAUUAUAUGCUUGUCUCAAAGAUUAAGCCAUGCAUGUCUAAGUAUAAGCAACUCUUAUACUGUGAAACUGCGAAUGGCUCAUUAAAUCAGUUAUAGUUUAUUUGAUGGUCCCUUUACUACAUGGAUAACUGUAGUAAUUCUAGAGCUAAUACAUGCGCACAAUCCCUUUUCUUACGGGAAGGGAUGUAUUUAUUAGAUCCAAAGCCAAUUCGGGUUUCGGCCCGAUGAUUGGUGAGUCAUAAUAACUGUUCGGAUCGCAUCGGCUUCGUGCCGGCGAUGGAUCAUUCAAAUUUCUGCCCUAUCAGCUUUGGACUGUAGUGUAGUGGACUACAGUGGCGUUGACGGGUAACGGAGAAUUAGGGUUCGAUUCCGGAGAGGGAGCCUGAGAAACGGCUACCAGGUCUAAGGAUAGCAGCAGGCGCGUAAAUUACCCAAUCCUGACCCAGGGAGGUAGUGACAAGAAAUAACAAUAUCCGGCUUUCACGAGUUGGAUAAUUGGAAUGAGGACAAUCUAAAUCCCUUACCGAGGAUCCAUUGGAGGGCAAGUCUGGUGCCAGCAGCCGCGGUAAUACCAGCUCCAAUAGCGUAUAUUAACGUUGUUGCAGUUAAAAAGCUCUAGUUGGAUUUCUGGUCCGGAGAGCCCAUGCUGUACCUAACCAGGUGCGGUUGUGGUGCAUUCCGACCAUCCUUCGCGGAGAGCGUCUCGGCUCUUGACUGAGUCUGGGAUGUGAUCCCGAUCUUUUACUUUGAAAAAAUUAGAGUGUUCAAAGCAGGCUUAUGCUAUGAAUACGUUAGCAUGGAAUAAUGAAGUAGGGCUUUGGUCUUAUUUUGUUGGUUUCUAGGACUGAAGUAAUGAUUGAUAGGGAUAGUUGGGGGUGCUAGUAUUCAACGGCCAGAGGUGAAAUUCCGUGAUUCGUUGAAGACUAACUAAUGCGAAAGCAUUCACCAAGGAUGUCUUCUUUAAUCAAGAACGAAAGUUGGGGGAUCGAAGACGAUCAGAUACCGUCGUAGUCUCAACCAUAAACGAUGCCGACUAGGGAUUGGUGGGCGUUGAUUUUGACCCCAUCAGCACCUUAUGAGAAAUCAAAGUCUUUGGGUUCCGGGGGGAGUAUGGUCGCAAGGCUGAAACUUAAAGGAAUUGACGGAAGGGCACCACCAGGAGUGGAGCCUGCGGCUUAAUUUGACUCAACACGGGGAAACUUACCAGGUUCAGACAUAGUAGGGAUUGACAGAUUGAAGUUCUUUCUUGAUUCUAUGGGUGGUGGCGCAUGGCCGUUCUUAGUUGGUGGAGUGAUUUGUCUGUUA